GAUGAAGAACGUAGCGAAAUGCGAUAAGUAAUGUGAAUUGCAGAAUUCAGUGAAUCAUCGAAUCUUUGAACGCACAUUGCGCCCGCCAGUAUUCUGGCGGGCAUGCCUGUUCGAGCGUCAUUACAACCCUCAGGCCCCCGGGCCUGGCGUUGGGGAUCGGCGGAGCCCCCCGUGGGCACACGCCGUCCCCCAAAUACAGUGGCGGUCCCGCCGCAGCUUCCAUCGCGUAGUAGCUAACACCUCGCACCGGGGCGCGAAGGCGGUCACGCCGUAAAACGCCCAACUUUCUUAGAGUUGACCUCGGAUCAGGUAGGAAUACCCGCUGAACUUAAGCAUAUCAAUAAGCGGAGGA
rnacentral:misc_RNA from 1 species